rnacentral:rRNA from 1 species
GGGUUGUGAGGUUAAGCGACUAAGCGUACACGGUGGAUGCCCUGGCAGUCAGAGGCGAUGAAGGACGUGCUAAUCUGCGAUAAGCGCCGGUAAGGUGAUAUGAACCGUUAUAACCGGCGAUUUCCGAAUGGGGAAACCCAGUGUGACUCGUCACACUAUCAUUAACUGAAUCCAUAGGUUAAUGAGGCGAACCGGGGGAACUGAAACAUCUAAGUACCCCGAGGAAAAGAAAUCAACCGAGAUUCCCCCAGUAGCGGCGAGCGAACGGGGAGGAGCCCAGAGCCUGAAUCAGCAUGUGUGUUAGUGGAAGCGUCUGGAAAGGCGCGCGAUACAGGGUGACAGCCCCGUACACAAAAGCGCAUAUGCUGUGAGCUCGAUGAGUAGGGCGGGACACGUGGUAUCCUGUCUGAAUAUGGGGGGACCAUCCUCCAAGGCUAAAUACUCCUGACUGACCGAUAGUGAACCAGUACCGUGAGGGAAAGGCGAAAAGAACCCCGGCGAGGGGAGUGAAAAAGAACCUGAAACCGUGUACGUACAAGCAGUGGGAGCACCCUUUGGGGUGUGACUGCGUACCUUUUGUAUAAUGGGUCAGCGACUUAUAUUCUGUAGCAAGGUUAACCGAAUAGGGGAGCCGGAGGGAAACCGAGUCUUAAUUGGGCGUUAAGUUGCAGGGUAUAGACCCGAAACCCGGUGAUCUAGCCAUGGGCAGGUUGAAGGUUGGGUAACACUAACUGGAGGACCGAACCGACUAAUGUUGAAAAAUUAGCGGAUGACCUGUGGCUGGGGGUGAAAGGCCAAUCAAACCGGGAGAUAGCUGGUUCUCCCCGAAAGCUAUUUAGGUAGCGCCUCGUGAAUUCAUCUCCGGGGGUAGAGCACUGUUUCGGCUAGGGGGCCAUCCCGGCUUACCAACCCGAUGCAAACUGCGAAUACCGGAGAAUGUUAUCACGGGAGACACACGGCGGGUGCUAACGUCCGUCGUGAAGAGGGAAACAACCCAGACCGCCAGCUAAGGUCCCAAAGUCAUGGUUAAGUGGGAAACGAUGUGGGAAGGCCCAGACAGCCAGGAUGUUGGCUUAGAAGCAGCCAUCAUUUAAAGAAAGCGUAAUAGCUCACUGGUCGAGUCGGCCUGCGCGGAAGAUGUAACGGGGCUAAACCAUGCACCGAAGCUGCGGCAGCGACGCUGAUGCGUUGUUGGGUAGGGGAGCGUUCUGUAAGCCUG